UACGUAGGGGGCAAGCGUUGUCCGGAAUCAUUGGGCGUAAAGCGCGUGUAGGCGGCUGGGUAAGUCCGCUCUGAAAGCCCGGGGCUCAACCCCGGGAGGCGGGUGGAUACUGCUCAGCUCGAGUCCGGAAGAGGAGUGUGGAAUUCCUGGUGUAGCGGUGAAAUGCGCAGAUAUCAGGAAGAACACCCGUGGCGAAAGCGGCUCUCUGGAACGGUACUGACGCUGAGACGCGAAAGCGUGGGGAGCGAACAGG
rnacentral:rRNA from 1 species